GCCCCUACUCUCCUGACACAAUCACUGCUGC
rnacentral:piRNA from 1 species